UGAGUACGAGAUGCUACGGCGUCGAAGCAGUCUAGGUCAUACUUCCAAGAAAAGCUAGCACUGUCAGAAACAAAGAAUGCCUGUACCAUAACCGACACAGGUGGGUAGGUAGAGUAUACUAAGGGGCGCGAGAUAACUCUCUCUAAGGAACUCGGCAAAAUGACUCCGUAACUUCGGGAGAAGGAGUGCCUUAUUUUUAAGGUUGCAAUAACAAGAUCCAAGCAACUGUUUACCAAAAACACAGGUCUCCGCUAAGUCGUAAGACGAUGUAUGGGGGCUGACGCCUGCCCAGUGCCAGAAGGUUAAAGAAGUUGGUUAGCAUUCGCGAAGCUGAUAACUGAAGCCCUGGUGAACGGCGGCCGUAACGAUAACGGUCCUAAGGUAGCGAAAUUCCUUGUCGGGUAAGUUCCGACCCGCACGAAAGGCGUAAUGAUUUGGAUACUGUCUCGGAGAGGGGCUCGGUGAAAUAGACUUGUCUGUGAAGAUGCGGACUACCUGCACCUGGACAGAAAGACCCUAUGAAGCUUUACUGUAACUUGAGAUUGAAAUUGGACUUUAUUUGCGCAGUAUAGGUGGGAGGCGUUGAGAAUAAUCUUGCGGGAUUAUGGGAGCCAUCAGUGAGAUACCACUCUUGUAAUGUUAGAUUUCUAACUUUGGAUCAUUAUCUGGUCAAAGAACAGUUUCAGGCGGGCAGUUUGACUGGGGCGGUCGCCUCCCAAAGGGUAACGGAGGCGCACAAAGGUUUCCUCUGAACGGGUAGAAAUCGUAUCUAGAGUGUAAAGGCAUAAGGAAGCUUGACUGUGAGACCUACAAGUCGAGCAGGGACGAAAGUCGGUCUUAGUGAUCUGACGGUGCUGAGUGGAAAGGCCGUCACUCAACGGAUAAAAGUUACUCUAGGAUAACAGGCUGAUCUCCCCCAAGAGUUCACAUCGACGGGGAGGUUUGGCACCUCGAUGUCGGCUCAUCGCAUCCUGGGGCGGUAGUACGUCCCAAGGGUCGGGCUGUUCGCCCAUGAAAGCGGUACGCGAGCUGGGUUCGGAACGUCGUGAGACAGUUCGGUCCAUAUCCGGUGUAGGCGUUAGAAUAUUGAAAGGAGCCUUCUCUAGUACGAGAGGACCGAGAAGGACAUACCUCUGGUGUACCAGUUAUCGUGCCAACGGUAAACGCUGGGUAGCUAUGUGUGGAGUGGAUAACCGCUGAAAGCAUCUAAGUGGGAAGCCCACCUUAAGAUAAGUAUUCUCA
rnacentral:rRNA from 1 species